rnacentral:rRNA from 1 species
GACGAACCGUGCGAACGUUGUUCGGAAUCACUGGGCUUAAAGGGCGCGUAGGCGGGUGGCCAAGUCGGUGGUGAAAUCCUCCAGCUCAACUGGAGAACUGCCUUCGAUACUGGUCGGCCUGGAGGGGGGUAGGGGCAGACGGAACUUCCGGUGGAGCGGCGAAAUGCGUAGAUAUCGGAAGGAACGCCGGCGGCGAAACGCGGAUCGUGCUGGACCCCCACUGACGCGUGAGG